GACGAACGCUGGCGGCGUGCUUAACACAUGCAAGUCGAACGGUGAAGCGCCUUCCUUUUUGGUGGGUGUGGAUGAGUGGCGAACGGGUGAGUAACACGUGAGUAACCUGCCCCCUUCUUCUGGAUAACCGCAUGAAAGUGUGGCUAAUACGGGAUAUUCUGGGUCUGUCGCAUGAUGGGUCUGGGAAAGAUAUUGUUUCGGUGGGGGAUGGGCUCGCGGCCUAUCAGCUUGUUGGUGGGGUGAUGGCCUACCAAGGCGGUGACGGGUAGCCGGCCUGAGAGGGUGGACGGUCACACUGGGACUGAGACACGGCCCAGACUCCUACGGGAGGCAGCAGUGGGGAAUAUUGCACAAUGGGCGCAAGCCUGAUGCAGCGACGCCGCGUGAGGGAUGGAGGCCUUCGGGUUGUGAACGUCUUUCGCCAGUGAAGCAGGCCUGCCUCGUUUGUGGGUGGGUUGACGGUAGCUGGAUAAGAAGCGCCGGCUAACUACGUG
rnacentral:rRNA from 1 species